rnacentral:lncRNA from 1 species
AAGGGAAUCUGGAAGCCCUUACUCUGUUCUAGCAGAUUCCAAGAUGAGCAAACCACAUCUCCACGAGACCGAGGAGCAGCCAUAUUUCAGGGAGCCAAGGGCAGUGUCUGACGUGCACACUGUCAAAGAAGACCGGGAGAAUUCUGAUGACACAGAAGAGGAGGAGGAAGUCUCUUACAAAAGGGAGCAGAUCAUAGUGGAGUGUGUCUCCUGUAACAAAUCCUUCAAGAAACUCUGGUCCCUUCAUGAACAUAUCAAGAUUGUCCAUGGAUAUGCAGAAAAA